rnacentral:rRNA from 1 species
AAACUCUCGGCCACGAAAAGCCCCGCGGGGACGAACCAUCCGGCCCGUACCGCAAUCCGACACAGGUGUGCUAGGCGAGUAUCCGAAGGCGUUCGGGAGAACCCUCGUGAAGGAACUCGGCAAAAUGACCCCGUACCUUCGGUAUAAGGGGUGCUCUCCGCAAGGAGAGCCGCAGAGAAUCGGCUCUAGCGACUGUUUAUCAAAAACACAGGACUCUGCCAACUCGCAAGAGGACGUAUAGAGUCUGACGCCUGCUCGGUGUCGGUAGGUUAAGGGAGCCGAUGAGGCGCGAGCCGAAGUUGGCGACCGAAGCCCCGAUAAACGGCGGCCGUAACUAUGACGGUCCUAAGGUAGCGAAGUUCCUUGUCGGGUAAGUUCCGACCUGCAUGAAUGGCGUAACGACUGGAGCACUGUCUCCACGAGGGACCCGGUGAAACUGUAGCCGUGGUGAAGAUGCCACGUACCCGCGGUCAGACGGAAAGACCCCGUGAACCUUUACUGCAGGUUGGCAUUGGGUCAGCGUCCUUUCUGUGUAGCAUAGGUGGGAGGCCGUGAUCCGGCGGCGCCAGCCGUCGGGGAGCCAUCGGUGAAAUACCACCCUGAAAUGACUCUGAUCCUCACCGGUCCGUAGCCCGGACCGGGACCAUGCUCAUCGGGCAGUUUGACUGGGGCGGUCUCCUCCCAAAGUGUAACGGAGGAGUGCAAUGGUACCCUCGGCCAGGUCGGCAAUCUGGCAACAUGAGCGCAAACGUAGAAGGGUGCCUGACUGCGAGACCCAUCAGUCGAGCAGGGACGAAAGUCGGCGUUAGUGAUCCGGCGGUGCUGGAUGGAAAGGCCGUCGCUCAACAGAUAAAAGGUACUCCGGGGAUAACAGGCUGAUCUCCCCCGAGCGUCCAUAGCGGCGGGGAGGUUUGGCACCUCGAUGUCGGCUCAUCGCAUCCUGGGGCUGGAGAAGGUCCCAAGGGUUUGGCUGUUCGCCAAUGAAAGCGGUACGCGAGCUGGGUUCAGACCGUCGUGAGACAGGUCGGUCCCUAUCUGCCGUGGGCGGAGGAAACUUGCGAAGGGUCUCCCCUAGUACGAGAGGAUUGGGGAGGACCGACCUCUGGUGUACCGGCUGUCCCGCUCGGGGCACCGCCGGGUAGCUAGGUCGGGAAAGGAUAAGCGCUGAAGGCAUCUAAGCGCGAAGCCCUCUUCAAGACGAGGUUUCCAGCACGCAAGUGCGAAGGCUCCUGGAAGACGACCAGGUCGAUAGGCCGGGAGUGCACGGCGAGUGAUCGCCGCAGCCGACCGGUCCUAACAGCCAAUCGCUUGACCAC